UGGCUCAGUGGCAGAGCACUUGCCUAGUAUGUAUGAGGCCCUGGGUUCAAUCCCCUG
rnacentral:tRNA from 1 species